rnacentral:rRNA from 1 species
AUGACAUGUAAAAAGUAUGAUGUGAAUGGGUAUCGCUUCCAUACAGAGGAGCACCAAAACAGCCGCCCCGAUCCCAAAACUAUAAAUACUGGAGUGUACACCCCCGGUCAAAAUUCAGUAGACUACUACGGAAGGGAGGAGAAACUGAAGCGACCGCUCUCAGACAUGCAGGCGUGGGAGAUCGCCCAUACGCGGAAGGACUCCAAGCCUGGCGAGCCUCAGUACUACGGCAAGAAGACCGCGGGGAGGAAGCAGGCCUACUCCGAAGCGUAUCUGGAGUUGCAUCCUGACACACCUGACCCUAUUGCGGCGCCUCUGGACAACAGGGCGGUGGUGAGCAUGGGGCCCAAGGAGCACGGUCGGGAGGCGAUUCUCGAUGCUGUGAUCACUCCUAGUAUCUCCUACACACAGCUUCGUCGGAUCGACCCGAGCCUGAGCCAGCGCACGAGCCAGCCAGUGACCAGUACACAGUCCCUCUUUCAGGAGCAACAAUCUGCUUACAUGGAGUACACACGCCAAGAGAUCAUGGCGUGGCAUCAGAGGCUUUAUGAACACCAAGUGCAGAGGGAUAGCCAGAUGUAG